AUAGAGAAAGGCUACAGAAGAGUACAGAUGCUGCAGCACCACCUGGGGGCAGAGCUUAAUUUCUUCAGGUUAAUGAAGUGAGUAAAGCUGCAGUUGUUCAGUUACCUUGCAUCGGAGUGAUUAUUUGCCCCACGCAUGGCCCAGGAACUAGCAUCCAUACCUCGGGUGGUGUAGAGGAUAACCACGCCCUGUCGUCACAAAUACCAAGGGUUAAUAUCAUCUGCCCUAAGGGUUAUAACAUCUGCCCUUCAUCAACACCCUCACCACAACUUGGACACUCUGAAAGUAACUGGAGACAAAACUACUAAAAUAAAGCAUCUAAAAGAACACAAAGUAAAGGAAGCAAAGCAAGAAGUAUUACAGAAUCUUCCACCUUUACAUAACACCUGAGAAACUAAAAGAAGUGGAAAGUAGAUUAGACAAGCUCCAAAACUAUGCUUGGACUGCAGGCCACCAUUGUCAACGACAAUUUAACAGUUUAGAAAGUUAAGCAAAAGAUAAUUCUGCUCUCCUGAACAGUUAUGAGAUCAGGC